UUUACCUUCACUUUGGACACUCUUCUAGCACUUCCUCAUUGUGCUCUUGUUCAUGUUGCUGUUUCGAACUUCACUUGCUGUCAUGGUGGUGGUCUCUUUCCAAUAUGAUCAUUGAAUAUUAGAUUGAAUUUAGUUGUAAAGCUGAAGAUGAACCUGAGGUGUAGCGGUGCAGAUAUUGUUUGUUUCUCUCUGGUAGAUGUGUUUCAGAAUUCUUUCUGCUUUGCUUGAAGUUUUUUGGAUUACAUCGCUGGUGUAGCUGCGUUGAUGAUUGGUGGCUUUCUUUCUUGUACUUGUGUGUUGCUCUGUGACGUGCCUUGUGUGUUUGGGGAUGAUCAAAGCUUCAUACACUUCCUCUGCUUUGUAUAAAUGCUGGCUUAUCUCAAAGUGAUUGUUGAGAAGGAUUUAUCAUUGCUGUUUAUCACUGUGCAAUCUAUAUGUAUAGUAUUAUAAAGUGUAAGUCAAGUAUACACUUCUCUACAUUUUGGCCUUCUUUUGUUAACAUGUUCUGUACGUGAUGUUUUAAUGAUGCCACUUCCUUUAAAUGUUUCCCUGUUUUUAAGUUGGGUGUACAUAGAGCUUUUGAGUUCUACGUGCUGGCAGACGGUCACAUGGUUGGCUAAGUGAGACGGAUUUGGACACCUGGCUGCACAUUCUCAGGCAGUCCCACAUUUCUUGUGUCGUUGGAAUGUGUGACUCCUCACACUGUCGAUUCACAUUUGCUGUCUCAGGCUCAGUGCCAGUAUUGUACAAAAGAUUGCACAAAUUUAAAAUAAGAAAUGUUAUUUAUUUUUUUUGCAAACUGUUUUCAUUUAGUAACUCUAAAUACAGCACAGUUAUAAUCCAUAAUCUCUAGUUUUUACUUAAAGAUACAUUUCCCGGCCUUUUUGCAGCUUAAUCCCGGCAUUGUGCAACAUGGUUAUGUGCCACGUUCCUCCGUGGUUUGAGAGACAAGCCAUGAUUCCUUCCUCUUCAGCUGACGCAGCUAAUUGGACAAUUCAUUUAUUGUUGUUAUCUCCCUCCCACGUCCUGUUAGCUUGUAUCCAGGAUACUGAACUGUAGGCAGUGGCACAAGAUGACGUGCCAUACCUUGCCCUUCCUUACGCUGCAUUAAUUUGCAGCCACUGUAUGCUCUAAGGGCUCCUGUAGGUUGAUAUUAGCAAGCUUCCUUGCAGAAUGUUUGCAGAUGUUUGAUUGGAUCAUUUUUGCUCUGACACCCCCUCAUCUUGGCUGAAUUAGUCCCAUUAGGUUUUUUUUCAAUAUAAAGAGAAGCUUAAAUUAAGACACAUGGAUAGUUCUGCCACAGCUAAAUUAAAAGAAAAACAAACAGUCCUAGUCAGGAAAUGGUGUUACAAUUGGUGUUAAUUUACAAACUGUUUUUUUAAGCGCAUGUUAUCCGAGACGUGCCUCGACCAGACAGCCUGUUUAAACAUGAUGUCUGUGCUGAUCUGCCUGCAUGCAAGCGUCAUAUUGCCUUUAACUAUUAAUGUGUCUGUCACAUGACACAACAUUAAAAGUAAAGUCUUUAUCACACAUACACACACAAAAUCUUCACUUUGGUAUUUCUAUUAUGUUAUAUUCUGGUUCAGCAUUUCAGAAAUAAUAAGUUCUAGCUUUACAAAAGAGAUGGUUUGGCUUCCAGAUUCAAACAUCCUAACAUGUAUAAAGCGUUUGUCUCCGAGACCAGUUUUAACCCUUUAUAAACACACGUUACAGUAUCAGAUGAUACACUUUUAUCAAAGCAAAAUACUAUUUUCAUGAUUUUGCAAUAGAUGACCAACCUUUUUAGUGACUUGAGACUUUAGUUUAACAAAUGUUGAAGAAGCUAUGCAGUUAUGAAUGAGUGAUUGUUUUUUUAGUAUACUAUCAAUGGGACUGUGUCCAAGUCCUAGUCUAAACUAGAGUCAAAUAUACUAAUAUAGUAUAAACCUGGUUGUUAGUGAGUAAACACAUCAUUUACAAAAUAAACUGAA